AUGCAGAGUUACAAUCAAGAUGGCAACAUAGGCAGACAAGGCUCACCUCUUAGCACAACCACAUCAAAAUUACAACUACAACACAGAACAACGCUCACUCAGGAAUGUCAGAGUUGAAUGGAAGUCUGACAACUACAGAAUUGAAGAAACCAUUUCCAUCCAGACUGGUAGUAGGGGUGCAGAAUCAGAAUGGGCUGGCCCCCUACCCACAUGGGUAAAAAUUUGGGAGGGAUA